rnacentral:rRNA from 1 species
CGCUGGCGGCAUGCCUAACACAUGCAAGUCGAACGAGACCUUCGGGUCUAGUGGCGCACGGGUGCGUAACGCGUGGGAAUCUGCCCUUCGGUUCGGAAUAACUCAGGGAAACUUGAGCUAAUACCGGAUGAUGACUUCGGUCCAAAGAUUUAUCGCCGAGGGAUGAGCCCGCGUAGGAUUAGCUUGUUGGUGGGGUAAUGGCCUACCAAGGCGACGAUCCUUAGCUGGUCUAAGAGGAUGAUCAGCCACACUGGGACUGAGACACGGCCCAGACUCCUACGGGAGGCAGCAGUGGGGAAUAUUGGACAAUGGGCGAAAGCCUGAUCCAGCAAUGCCGCGUGAGUGAUGAAGGCCUUAGGGUUGUAAAGCUCUUUUACCCGGGAUGAUAAUGACAGUACCGGGAGAAUAAGCUCCGGCU